GGCGCCUACCUGGCGAAGGUNGACGCC
rfam:Sindbis virus glycoprotein PE2 gene, 3' end.